rnacentral:tRNA from 1 species
GUUUCCGUAGUGUGGUGGUUAUCACGUUCGCCUACCACGUGAAAAGUCCCCCAUUCGAAACCGGGUGGAUACA